AGUGUCAAUUGGGCUGUCCAAAGC
rnacentral:siRNA from 1 species